AACCGCGUAGCUCAAUUGGUAGAGCUUUGGACUGGUAUCCCAAAGGUCGCGGGUUCGAUUCCCACCGUGGCCA